GUGGCUAUAGCUCAAUGGUAGAGCCCCAGAUUGUGGUUCUGGUUGUUGCGGGUUCGAGUCCCGUUGGCCACCCCA
rnacentral:tRNA from 1 species